GACAGAGGGUGCAAACGUUGUUCGGAAUUACUGGGCGUAAGCGCGUGUAGGCGGUCUCGCAAGUCGGAUGUGAAAGCCCAGGGCUCAACCCUGGAAGUGCACUCGAUACUGCGAGGCUAGAGUCCCGGAGAGGAUGGUGGAACUCUCGGUGUGAGAGGUGAAAUUCGUAGAUAUCGAGAAGAACACCGGUGGCGAAGGCGGCCAUCUGGACGGUGACUGACGCUGAGACGCGAAAGCGUGGGAGCAACAGG
rnacentral:rRNA from 1 species